rnacentral:lncRNA from 1 species
CGCAGCGUGGCCGCCGCCGCCAGUCCCGCCGAGGCAUCCCGCGCCGCACCGGGCCUGACUGGGCUGGGGGCGCCGUUGCGACAGCCGGGAGGGGAGGCAGGGCCCAGGACGCGAGGUGGCGACAAGUCGCGUUUGGCCCCAGGGGCUGUGGGGUCACCUUUUCCUCUCUCCUGCCACCCCAAGGCAUCUGCAUUGUGUGUUAUGCAAUGAGAGAGCACCUUGGCCUGGACCUCAAGAGACCCACGGUCUAGUUCUGCCUUUGCCAUGUCCUAGAGCAGUGUCCUCAGGUAA